rnacentral:lncRNA from 1 species
CCCCCCGCUCCCUCCACGCGCACCGCGUGGGCCCCGCGCCACCCCCGCUCCCGGGGAUCCCGCCGAGCGCCCCAUCGGCUCCCCAGAGCGAAUGCGCCCGACGCGAGCACAGAAAUCGCGGGCAAGCGCGAAUCGUCAUUUAAACUUCGCUGAAGUGACCACGUUCGUUCACUUGUAAGCAGCCUUUAAGAACAGGGCCCAGAGCCUCCCGGUAGCAGAUCCCUGCCCCCACCAAGUCCCUAGCCUUGCUCUUGGACUGCUCUCUGAAGGACACCCCUCUACUUAAAACACCCAGGGCACUACAAGCAUGAGCCCCCGGCAUAUCUGCAAAACCAGAGGUGGGAAUCAGGGGUGACCUUCUGGGACAGGAACCCGGCGAAGCCAGGGCUUACUGCGGGGCUGAACCUUUGAGGCCAGAGACGCUCGGACCUGCUCCUUCCCUGCCUUUCAAGAUGUACCACAGACUGAAGCUAACCUACAGGGCACAACGGUGAUCAGAGUUACUUAGUAGAAGGACAGGAGGGGGUCACCCAACACAAAGGUCACCUUCCCUACCCACUGGAACCCCAAGCUUGCAGCCACUUGCUAGAAGGUGCCCCCUCUUUGUAGGGUCAGGACCUAUGGAAAGGGAGCCCACAGCCUCUAGAGCAGGCCUGGUGCUCACUGGAUGUUAAGGGAAGAGUGAGUGACAAGAGCACAAGCUACCGCGGG